UUUCUAGCUUUUAGAACGAUGUGUGGAUGACUGCUUGGAGGUGAAAGCAAAUGCAUGGCUUGUUUGGGAGAUGAUGCCAGGAAUGGAAUGUUUAUCUUGGCAGAAUGAGAGAGAAAUUGGAAAUAGAUAAGUUAGCAGUAAGUUGGGCCUUAUAAUGAUUGUUGGAUUCUAGGCAGAUAUUCGAAGUUGAUUUAAUUACCUCAAGAAUCAUUGCAAAUUUUUGAGGUGGGAAUAAGAUGACAUGUUCCUUCAUGUCUUUUACAGUUUGUGGUAGUUGUGUCUGCUUUUCUCUUGAGAAAUUCAUUCACUUAGUCAUUCUAAUGACUGUUUACUAGUUAUCUAUGUGCCUGGUUCUCAGAAUUAGCUGAUACUUUGUUCUGCUGUUCUCUCUCACUUUCUUUGGACAUUACUUCACAUCUGUCUUAGAGAAUACUCAGUUACCACCCAAGAUUUGUAGCAUCAAUUAAGUUUUCUAAUUGCUCACUGCUCUCCUUAGAACUUAUUUGGUUUUAAGGUAGGGAGGAAAAACCUUGCACACUUGAAAAACAAACAGGAUAGGACAUGAUCCUUGCUCCUAAGUACGGGCUUGAGGAAUGUGACAGAGGAGUGCUUCAUGUCUUUCGCUGUGGAGAAGUCAGUGGUAGUUUGUUGUAUCCCUUGUUUGCCUUAUACUGGAGUUAGGUCUAGAA
rnacentral:lncRNA from 1 species